AAAUUGAAGAGUUUGAUCAUGGCUCAGAUUGAACGCUGGCGGCAGGCCUAACACAUGCAAGUCGAACGGUAACAGGAAACAGCUUGCUGCUUUGCUGACGAGUGGCGGACGGGUGAGUAAUGUCUGGGAAACUGCCUGAUGGAGGGGGAUAACUACUGGAAACGGUGGCUAAUACCGCAUAACGUCGCAAGACCAAAGAGGGGGACCUUCGGGCCUCUUGCCAUCAGAUGUGCCCAGAUGGGAUUAGCUUGUUGGUGAGGUAACGGCUCACCAAGGCGACGAUCCCUAGCUGGUCUGAGAGGAUGACCAGCCACACUGGAACUGAGACACGGUCCAGACUCCUACGGGAGGCAGCAGUGGGGAAUAUUGCACAAUGGGCGCAAGCCUGAUGCAGCCAUGCCGCGUGUAUGAAGAAGGCCUUCGGGUUGUAAAGUACUUUCAGCGGGGAGGAAGGUGUUG
rnacentral:rRNA from 1 species